rnacentral:rRNA from 1 species
CCUACGGGGGGCAGCAGUGGGGAAUAUUGGGCAAUGGGCGCAAGCCUGACCCAGCAACGCCGCGUGAAGGAAGAAGGCUUUCGGGUUGUAAACUUCUUUUAAGGGGGACGAACAAAUGACGGUACCCCUUGAAUAAGCUCCGGCUAACUACGUGCCAGCAGCCGCGGUAAUACGUAGGGAGCGAGCGUUAUCCGGAAUUAUUGGGUGUAAAGGGUGCGUAGACGGGAACUUAAGUUAGUUGUGAAAUCCCUUAGCUCAACUAAGGAAUGGCAACUGAAACUGGGUUUCUUGAGUGCAGGAGAGGA